UAAAGACCUUGACUUGGUAGCAUUUAUUCAUAGACACUUGAGCAGAAAAAACACAUCUCAGCAAUGCUUCCUCAGAGAAAGCACAUGCAUAUGUGGUUGGACUUCUGAUAUGUGUUGUCAUACUGCUUCUCCAUCUUACUGAUUAGUUCCUGUGUGAUUGAUAUGGAAAAUCUGAGCAACUGACUACCACACAGUUAUGAGCCAUCAUACAGCAACAUGGAUGGAUGUAGAAGCUGUCAUACUGAGUGAAGUACGUCAGACACAGAAAGACAAGUGUCGUAUGAUACCACUUAUCUGUGUAAUCUAAAACAAAGGAUACAAACAAACUUAUUUACAGAGCAGAAGGAGAGUCACAGAUGUAGGAAACAAAGUUUUGGUUACUACAAGCUAAAGAAAACAGAAGAUCGAGACAGGCUAAGUGAAGAUCACAAAGCCAGUCAAUGUGGAGCUGAAUCUGAGACUGAGGACUUCUAAUGCUUGGUUCAAAGAGCAAGCAGGAGAUAAAAUAGUAGCGUACUGGAUUCAUUAAA
ensembl:lncRNA